GUGCUCGCUUCGGCAGCACAUAUACUAAAAUUGGAACGAUAUAAGAUUAGCAUGGCCUCUGCGCGAGGAUGACACUCAAAUUUAAAAAAAAAAGAAAAAAGUAUUU
rnacentral:snRNA from 1 species